GGAGACAAUCCAAUACACAAAUCAUCUAUGGAUAGCCCUGUCAAGCCUCACCCAACCCCGGGUGAGAAGUACGAAAAACUCUAGGAGCCCCUAUCCUAUCGAGGGUCAUGUACUCGGAAACCCGCAUUCUAGCCAUGUCAUGCCUAAUCACUCUCUCCCUAAUAUCUCUUAGGCCUCCCUCUGUCUCGUCGUACGCCGACCAUCGCCAGCCGCUCACAACUCCUCACUGGGGCAUCACGACUUCUCCUCCGCACAUACCCGAACCACCUCAGCCUCGCUUCUCGCAUCUUCUCAUCCACUGCGCAGUGCGCCAACCAUCGCCAGCCGCUCACAACUCCUCAUCGGGGCAUCAGGACUUCUCCUCCGUACAUGCCCGAACCACCUCAUCCUCGCUUCUCGCAUCUUCUCAUCCACUGGGGUCACCCCCACCUUCUCUCGAAUAACUUCAUUCUUAAUCUUAUCUAACCUGGUGAGCCCGCACAUCCACCUGAACAUCCUAUCUCCGCAACCUUCAUUCUCUGAACAUGAUAGUUCUAAGACUGCUAACAACAAAUUUAUUAAUUUAAGGAAAGAAAUAAGGUUCUCAUCACUUAUUUCUUUCCUUUUUUACUGUAUUUUUACAUAAUAUGCACAACUGAAUAACGAAGAUAGUUCUCAUCUCACAUCGAAGCAGUAAAUCACUUUGCAGCUUUUGCCUCUGCUGUAACUAUGGCAUGCAUCAACAAGCAAACAAAAUUGCUAACAUGCAGCCCAGAGGCAUAAUGUUAAAAGUACCAGAGGGAUGAGCGACCUGAAGAGAUCACUAUAUUGCUUUUGCUAGAAUAUUACAAUAUGUUAUACUCAACAGUAAAGCAGUAGGCACAGGUUGUCCUCAAAGGGAAAUGAUAUAUGAGCAUUCCUAAAUUGAACAAUCCACCAAUACAAGGCGUAGAAAUCCUUUUUCCUGCUAACAUGGGCAUCCGAUCCAGAAUCUCCAAAGUAUUUUUUUUAACUGACAAUAUUUGUAUAUAUUAAUAAAAUCAAUACAUAGGUUAUACUGAAAACCAUAUGUACAAAUAAGAGAGCUGGUAUGCAAUCCUAGCAAGACCCUAAAAUAUCUAAGAUUGACACAGUAUCUUCUAUGUAAAUUUGUUUACACCAAAAAACAAGAGUGGAACACAACUAAGCUUGAUAUUCUGCACUGAGUUACUUCAGUCCUCAAAAAAUCCAAAAUUCCUCUUUCUAGACUGGUGGUCCGCCAGAUACAUACUGGGACAAUCCUCCAUCUAUCUUUGUUUGUUGCUUCAGCUCCAGCUUCAUUCCAACUAAAGAAAACUUCAGAAGCAUUGUCCAUGAAAUACCCCUAAGAUUAAUAAAGAUUUUUUAUAGUUGAUCUGUUAUCUUGCAAUAUAAAAAUAAAUAGCUAACUAUCUCAGCAUCUUGAGCACAAUGAGUUCCCUCUCUUUAUAAGAUUAUCCUGGGUAUAAACAUCCUCCUUCGCUAAUAGCCAUAAACAAGCUACCUUCUAGGGAAUCUUGAUUCUCCAAAUAUUGAUAAUACAAUCUUGGUUUCCAUGUAAGCAAUAACCAUCACAAGAAUAGUUGGUUAUCUUUUAGAGCAUUGACGCAUAUUAUGACCACAACAGAUCAUUUCAAAAUGAAAAAUACCGUAGCUUGGUAUGAUGGAUAAGUAAAAAUAAUCCUGAAAUAAAAAAAUUCAUACUGACUCAUCCUUUGUUUGAUUACUAAUCCCAACAUAAAUAAUCCUAACAUAACUGAUCCCAUCCUAACAUGUAUUCAAACCAAACAACAAGGAUAUUGGCAAAUGGGGUAAUAAAUAUCUCUUCUCAAGGAAUAUGAUGCCUAUGAGUUUAAUUUUUAUAAAGACAGGUAUUAGGAAGACAAGAGGGGUUGCUCUGAGGGUAAGCAAUCCUCCGAGAGGUUGUGAGUUCGAGUCUCCCCAAGAGCAAAGUGGGAAGUUCUUGGAGGGAAGGAUGUCGGGGGUCUAUUUGGAAACAGCCUCUCUACCCAGGGUAGGGGUAAGAUCUGCGUACAUACUACCCUCCCAAGACCCCACUAAGUAGGAUUAUAAUGGGUUAUUUUGUUGUUGCUGUAAAGACAGGUAUUGGGAACUGUAGCACAAGAAAUUGGAGAAAAUUGCAAAAAACGAUAUGAAACCAACCAUUUUCGGUUCUUUUAGUAGUUGAGUCACUUGCAAAACCAGAAAAAAUAAAUAAAACAAGUAUAAGGUGGGAAGAGCUUUUACUUGAAAAACAAGGUGGGAAAAAAUUAAAAUUAUGUACUAUAAGUGAUAUGAAAAGACAGGCUCAAACUAAGCUAUAGGCAAUUAAAAAUAGCUUGAGGUUAUACUUUGUUUAUUUUGCAACACAUGAUAAGUAAGAACAUUAAAAUCUCACAAUUGAUAUGGUUGUGGAUAGCUGAAGGAUUUAUGAGAAACAAAUGUGUCUCUUCGACAUGCAAAAGGUUGCAACAUGGCUUGCUCUGAACCCUCCUUGUACUUUUUUCUCUUCGAUGAUGGUUUCUAUAGGUACACCAACUAGCUUCUAACACUUUCCUUUUUAUUUUGCACUUCAACUCCUUGUUCACAUGAGUCCUUCAACAACCACAACCAUACAAAAGGAAGAUUUUCCAAAAUAAUUAUUGGUUGAAUACCUAAUACGUUAAUUUAAAUGUGAGAGCACACAAUUUUUGCAUCAAAGACAACGGCAUGUUGUGACUUCUAUUUGAUACUCUAAUGUUUUGUCCAUGACAAAGAAGUUAACCACAAUAACAAGAUGCAGCGUGAAAAAGUGUAAGCUUGAUACAUCAUAGUUAAUCCGAAAAAUACAUGGAUCUUAUACUUCAACUAUGCUGCAAAUAUUAUACAAAUAUCUUAAACCUUGCUUUCUUAUUCUACAACACUCGAGGACAAGAAAAUUCUAGUCCCAAAAUUAACAUGGUUAUGGAUUGCAGAAGGUUUUAUGAGAAACAUAAAGCGUUCAUUAAAUAUCAAACUGCUGUUGCGCUUAUUUGAUAAUUGCUUCCAUCAAAAGAGCAUGUAUACUCACCUCCAUUGUUUCACACAAAAACCUCUGCAACCCACAACCAUGUAAAAUGCUGAAAAAUAAAGAAAACAAGUUCCAGAUAUUCUGCAUAAUACAAGUAGCUUAGUCCACGCAUACUCACACAAUGUAUUACACAAAUUUGAACACAAGAACUCCAACUUUUACAAAAACGAUCAAAAUAUUCAAUAUAUCAACGCAAAUUGGAGUUCAACAAAUCUUAAGAAAUGAUAAAAAUGUUUGGGCUAGCACACAACCAGAUUUGGCUUAACUUUGCAUAGAAAAAUUUAUGUACGAUAACACUAGAACAUUUUAGCAUCCUUAACAGACAAGCAAACACUCAACAUAGCGAGUUAGUAAACCUGUAUAAUGAAAACAAUAAAGUAACUCAACAAGUAAACGGUAAGAAAAAACAAAAUAAUCAUUAGGAUAACAACGGGGCAUUCACAUACCAGUAUUACUACGGUAAUAGCAGUAAAGGGGUGCGGCGGCCAAGUGAAAGCUAGGGUUCUUCGGGCUUGAAAUGGAAGGGCUUGAAAUGGAAGAAGAGUGGAGCUUUAAUAUAGUGCAGAAAAAGCCCUUGCACUUUUGAAGAGUUCGUAAAUUUACCUCUCAAAACUAUUUAUUUGUCAAUUAACCCUUCUUCUUUAUUAACUUGU
rnacentral:lncRNA from 1 species